ACGCCAAACAGGAAAACUCGGUACAGCUCGCCCAUUUCUAGCACUUUGCUUUUUUAACAAAUAGUAUAAAGUUUUGAACCCCCGAUAUCGACGAUAAACCACCCAAGGUGAGACAUGCAAAUGAACGGGACGAACAGUGAUAAUAAACUUGAGCAUUUUUUUAUCUUUAAUAAGGGUAUUUAGGGAAGCCUCCUUCAAAAAUUGAUAAUGAAGUUCAAUGUGAGCUUCGUAAAAAGCAUCGUCAAAUGAUAACUUC